GGGAAGGUGGCUCAGUGGUAGAGCUCUUGCCUUGCAUGCAUGAGGCCCUGGGUUC
rnacentral:tRNA from 1 species